AAGUUUGUGAUGGUCAGAUCAAGAAUUCAGUUUCCAGACUCUCAGUCCAGUGCUCUUUCUGCCACUCCCAAUGAUACCGACUUGUCAGUUUCAGGAGGCAAACGUGGCCCACUUCAAGGAAACCAGCCGUUGGCACAUGAUGGCCAUCACAGAGCUCAGGAGCUGACCUUUGGGUGGUUUCUGGUCCACGUGACAAACCCUCCAGACUUUCACAUUCUGAAAACUGACUGACUCCACCCAGAUCUGUGACUCAAGACUCAACUGGUCCCAUGGCCCCCACCCAGAGGCUGAAUCAGCACACAAGGACCCUUUUCCACACUCCCAUAAUUUCAUCCCCAACCAGUCAGCAGUUCCAUAGCCCCCUGCCCACCGGAUGAUCCAUAAAAUCCCUAGCCUCUGAGUUCUUGUGGAGGCUGAUUUCAGUAAUAAACUUCUGUCCUGUUACUUGGCUAGUUCUGCA
rnacentral:lncRNA from 13 species